UGUUGUUGUUCUAUGCGAAGUCUGUGUACUUGUUCUGUCUUUGCAGAUCCUAGGACUCUGUAGGAAACUGCCAUUUUGAUUGUGCGGAUGGAUGUUCCCUUAAGAAGUUAUCAGUACUAAUAGAGCUGAAACCUGCUAGGAAGUUGAUCCAUCAGGAAGAGCGAGGAAAGUGUUAAUAUACAGUGAAUCUCUGUGAAGCCACUGAAAAGACCAGUGGGCCAGAAUCCAAUCAGAGACAUUGGGGAAGGGAAGAAGCUACAUCAGUGGAUAUGAGAAGAGGUACAUUUCUUCCUCGAUCAGUCCCUGAGCAACCGCAUCAGAACACUCUCUGUCUUUGCUCCCUCACCCAAGCGUGGCAAGUCAUUCUGUUCUGGAGGGUUUCCAGAAGCACUGGGAGCACAUGGAGGUUGCAUGAGACUUACCGGAGCUGUGCAGGAGGCUGCAGAGGAGAACCAGUAAUGCCCAAAUCAUGUAGGUUCUGUGCUGGGAAACUGCAGUGGAUGGUGAUGUCCCACGGUGCCAUCUCUUCUGAUUGCUGUAACAGGUCUGACACAUGGUGGUGGCUCAUUAUGAAUGCAGUAAGUUUCUCUUAUUUUCCAGUAAGCAUGUGUGGCCCUGAUCUGGAUCGGGACCAUUGUGUACAAGUGAGAGGAGAUUUAAAGAUCCCCUGUCCCAUUUUUUAAACCUGAAAUCACCUCUCAGUGAUAAAAAAAAAUUGAAAAAAACCUCAUCAGUGCUAACAGGAUGUAUUUCUCUCUUUGAGCACAUGUAGGGACUGUGUGGUAAACACUCCAAGGUAUUCAAGAGAAAACUGGGCAAACAUCUGUCAAAUCUGCUUUGAUUUGAAUUCCUGUAUUGAGCAGGGGGUUAGACUUGAUGGCCUUAUAGGCCCCUUCCAACUCAGUUAUUCUAUGAUUCUACACAUUAAAAGCCACCUUGGGGUUUAAGAGUCUUACAUGAGCACAUGAUUCUUAAAUGAACAGUGAAAAGAAAUAGAGGAAAAUAAUAGAAAGGGAAAAACCAGAUAUCUGUUCAAGAAAAUUGGAGAUAUUAAAGUAACAUUUUGUGCAAAGAUGGACAUGAUAAAGGACAAAAAUGGUAAGGACCUCACAAAAGCAGAAGACAUCAAGAAGAGGUGGCAAGAAUACACAGAGGAAUUAUACCAGAAGGAUUUGGAUAUCCCGGACAAGCUAGAUAGUGUGGUUGCUGACCUUGAGCCAGACAUCCUGGAGAGUGAAGUCAAGUGGGCCUUAGAAAGCUUGUCUUUGAAUUUGACCAAACUCUGGGAGGCAGUGGAAGACAGGAGGACCUGGCAUGCUCUGAUCUAUGGGGUCACCAAGAGUCGGACACGACUUAACGAUUAAACAACAACAUGGCCAGUUGGCUCAGUCCAGCUUUCUUAUUGCAAUAGAGUAAUCUAGGCAAUUAGAGAUAGAUCUGUAGAA
rnacentral:lncRNA from 1 species